UACGUGAGGGUGCGAGCGUUGUCCGGAAUUAUUGGGCGUAAAGAGCUUGUAGGCGGUUUGUCGCGUCUGCUGUGAAAAUCCGGGGCUCAACCCCGGACUUGCAGUGGGUACGGGCAGACUAGAGUGUGGUAGGGGAGACUGGAAUUCCUGGUGUAGCGGUGAAAUGCGCAGUAUAUCAGGAGGAACACCGGAUGGCGAAGGCAGGUCUCUGGGCCAGCUACU
rnacentral:rRNA from 1 species